CCCUAUUUCAAAAUACAUUUUUUAAAAAGGGGAACAUAGUUCAGUGGUAAAGCACCCCUGGGUUCAAUGUCAAUUAAAAAAAAAUUCAUGUAAUGAACACAUGUAUAACAUUUUUAAACUCUUCUAAAGUAAGGAGUCAGCCCUGCCACCCCUAUAAUCCCACCUCUUUAAGAGGUCAAGGCAGGAGGAUCACUUGAUACAAUGAGUUCCAGACCAACCUAGACAACACAGCAAGACCUCUUCUCAAAAGUAGAAAAAAGACAAGAUAUUUUAUGCAUUAUUUUCUAUCAUUAUGUUUGUGAUUGUAGGUAACUGAAUUCUUUAUCUGAAAAAUAGUGGAAAAGGAGGAAAGAUGCCUGCAAUUUGAGAAGAACCAAAAAUCUAACAAGGGUAACUAAUAUAUAACCAAUAUAUAUAUAACUAACAAGGGUAACUAAUAUAUAACUAAUAUAUAAUUAUAUAACUAAUAUAUAAGGAAAAUAUUCUGCUUGUAAAGAAAAGACCUAACCUAUCUAUAUAACAAUCAUAUUAACAGAAAUGAGGCAAUUAACACACAAGAUUUUAGAAAAAAAGAGUGGAUUUUACUAUCUGUUCACUAGAAAGGUGGAGUCCACUGGGGGAAAUCUGAUACUUCAUUGGUACACCAAUUCUUAGUCAAAGAACCUUUAAGUACCUCCCUUUACCAUCCCCCCAACCCUGCCCCCAGUAUUGGGGAUCACACCCAGGGUCUCAUACAUGCUAGGUAAGUGCUCUACCACUGAGCCUCAGCCCAUCCUUCUCUUUACUUUUACUACAUGCUAUCCAAGCAGGUUAUGAUCCCAACUAUGGUUCUCUAGGCAUCUUGCAAACUAAGCAGUAAAUAUAAACCUCUUUAGCAACUUAUAGUCAGUAUUCACUGAACAAACUUCAGUGUGGCAAGCAAAAGCUUUAUCAGCUCUGGCUAUUCUGACAAAAUUUAGUUUCAAAACUUGAAUAUUUUUCCUUUCCACUUUCUUAAAAAUCCUAUUUUUCCUUUUCUUCUGAAAAAGUAACUACUGACUCUCUUUCAUGACCUAGUUAGUUGCAUGCAGACACCUAAAUGUUCCUAAGCUUACUUUUGGCAAGUGUCACACUUAAAUGUCUUAUGUCAGUGUCAUUUACCUUUUAAGCUACUACAUGUUCUGCAGCUGAAAAAUGCAGACAGAGUCACCUGUAAUUAGAAAAAGAACUCACUCAGGGUCAGGUAACAAGAAAACAAAAGCAAUGGGGCAAAACACAGAAAUCCUUGAGUUAUAAGAAAAACAAGUAAAUAGAUAAUGUUCUUCAAAGUUCUUUUGAUGGCAGAUAAAUGUCAAAAUGACUAUUACUAUUUUAGCUAAAGAACUCUAGAGACUUGAGUGCAUUUGGGUUGGAAAGGUGAGGAAAAAAAUUUAAGCAUUUAUUCUUUCUAGACAUAGUUCUGCAUGCUUUACAUGCAUUCUCAUUUUAUCUUCAUAACUCUAUGGAGUAAUAGUAAAGAUCAUAAAUAUUUCAUCCAUAAUUCAUAUAAUAACCACUGCUAGUAAGACAUAUCCUCCUGGACAAUUUUUUCUAGUAAUGAUACUGCUUCCUAUUCUGGGGAAUAUGGGGGAAUUAGAGAAAAAAGCUUAAUGUAUUUACAUGAUAUUUGUGUAAGAUAAACAGGUUUUUUUGAGGAGUUGUAUGUCAGGUAUUGUAUUAGGCACUUUUACAUACACCAAUUCAUUAAAUCUGCAUUCUUUCAGGUAUAGAUUGUAUGUGUAUAAUUUCACCAUUCGUAGAUAAGUAAACUGAGGUAAGUAUUAAAUUUUCAACCAAAUUCACACAGUACAAAAAUAUUUCAGGAAUGAAACUCAUGUCUAACCAAUUCCUAAAUUUCUGAUUAUCCUAUUAUACCACAUACUUCUACUGCCAUUGAAUGAAAGUCUGUUACCCUUAUUCCUUAUUUGACCUCCAGAAACUAUCCAUAAUACAUCUAAUCAUUUUACCACUUUAGUGCUUCUAAUAUGCAAAAACUUCUAUUGUUUUUCUAAGUUUCCAGAUCAUCAGGUUAAACAAUAGUAGUUCUACCACUCAGUCCUCCAAAGCAUAAUCUACAUUUUUAAUUCAAACUACAGUGUUCUACAAAGGAUUUUAAUCAGUGACAAUGAGCAAAUACAAUAAAGCAAAUGAGUCUGAUUAGGGAAAAUACAAAAACAAAAGCAAAAAUAAAAUCAUGCAAAGAACUUUUAGCUCUGCCUUUCAUGGCAAUCCAAGAAAAAAUAAACAGUAAGGUCUGUUACAUAAUUCUUUAUUAGCAAAAACUUAGUAGUUCUUUAGUGGGCGUGGGUUUUCUUUUUUUCUUUUUAAGACAAAGGUUUAUUUAGCAAAGGUACAUUCAAGGGAGAACAUGAGCUAUCUCAAAAGUACAAAGCUUUGGAGGUAAAGGAAGGAAUACACAUUUAAGGAAGAAGGUGGGCCAUCUCCAAAGAGAGAAAGGGGGGGGGAGGUGAAUUUAAAAAAAAAAAAAAAUAUAUAUAUAAACAAAUAUGCUAAGCAAUUUAGUAAUGCCCUAGGCAAUUUUCCUAUGGUAUGUAAAUAAAAAAUUACUCAACAGAGAAAGCCUCAGUAUUGUUCACAGCCAAAUGCAUUUAUAAUUGCCUAAUCUAGAUUUAAGCCAUUUUAUGUAGUACAAAAUCACCACAACUGAAAUUUCUAGAGCUCUUUCUAACAGUUCCUGAAAAAACCACUACCUAAUAAUCACACAAUAAAAUGUAAAUAUGCUUGGAGGCCAUCUAGGACCCUUCAAGGCACUGCUUGGUACAUAUAGGUCAAUUAUAGGUCAAUUAUACAGUAGCACAAGUGGUAACAGCAAUAUACUCUCCUAUGGGAGCAAAUAAAGGACUUGUUACAAUUUUUAAAAAAUGUAAUCCUUUUACAGAAAAUGUGGUUUAGAUUAGCAAUUAAGCAACAAUUAAUAAAUUAAUAUCCUAUAAAUUCGGGUUCUAAUCUCACCUCCACACUAUGGCUCUAUCAUGAGAUCACAUGCCUAGUAAAGUGUUCAUUAAACUUUCCCUAUUAUCAGUAUUUUUAUUUUAAGCUUCAACUUAAGCAUGCAGGUCUUUUGCACGUCUCUAUAUUUCAUUCCACAGAAAGUGAUCAAUAAGUGACGAAUGAUACGCAUUUGGUGUUCAGAACCACUGCACAAUAUAAUAAAGAUCUUUACAGUUUUUUACCCAACCAGAGGGCUCCGUGAAACGGGAGAAGACUAAUAGUCUUCCCAGUGCGAACCUCUCACCCCAGUGGGUCUGAACCUCCCAGCACUGAUCAGUUGGCUGCGCUCCAUCAGCCCCUGGUUCCAGUGCCCUAGGACGGUAAAGAGGGAGGUGCAACGAUCCAUCUCCGAGUGCUGAGGGGAAUCCCCUGAGACCAGCUACUGCCACCCAGGACGCGGACGCCUCAGCUUGGCCGCGGGACUGGAAGCACCUGAACUUACCUCACAAGCUCCAAGCUAAGCAGAAAAGAGAGGCAGGCUACUCCGAAGCCCAAAGCCCCGCUUGGUCUCAAAUAGGAGCGGCUCCCGCCACUUCACGACUGACGCACAGAAUUCUGUUGAAUCGUUGCCGCAGAUAAGGAGACUACCCACUGCACGAGAAGCCAACUUCUCUUAAACCGCGCAAGUGCAGGUAAAUGCAAAGACCCCCGGAGGCCGUCUGGGGGAUGGGAGACCUGUGCGCUGCACACCGAAUCUCCCGCCCUGCUUAGGGGGCGGUGCCCUGCCAGACCAAUAGGAAGCGGAGUUCUCCAAGAACGACGGGUAUGUUAACCAGUCGGCGCCUACCGGUAGGCCUUGCCCAUCAGGAAAUCUGAGGAAAACGAAUCCCUAAGCACAAUGUUCCGGGGCUUUCCUUUCAUCUUUCCGUUUCCGGGGGAAGAAGGAAGUGUCCGUUGGGUCUGAGGAAGUUUGUGGAGGCAACCAGCUGCACGGUUCCUGUAUGUCUUGUGGCAGUCUUAGUGAUUUAUCUAGCUAUCUUUUUUAAGGAAAAGGAUAAAGAAAUGGAUUCUCUCUCUCGCUCUUUUUUUUUUAAACUUUUUCUCAUUUGUCCUAAAAGGUAGGAUGUCGUUCAUAUCAAGGGCUUGCGGUAGGGAGGAGGGGAGACGUCCUUUUUUCAAAGGUAAAAAGUAGGGCCUGAGUACUGGAAAGGGAGAUGGGCUCAGACAGUUAAUAGGACGGUAAGGCGCGGAAAAUAGAAUGAACUGACAAAAAGAAAAUGAGGGAGAAAGGGAACGAACCUGGCUAGGAUACAUACAAUAUUACUAACAGAACUGUGUCGUUCGAACUCAUUCAUUAUUCAAAACAACAUUAGAGUUCCCUGCGUACGCAGAAGACGAGGAUACAAUAUCGAGGUAGACGAACGCGAUUUCUCCCUUCACACUAGCUACUACACGAGGAGAUGAUGAACGGAUAAUACUGAGAAACAUGCUACAAUAUGGGAAGUGCAGUGUUUAUUGGAACACGUAGCAGGAGUCAGGAACAAAUCCUUUGAAGAAAGAGAUGCUUAAGCUACAACCUGAUGGCUAAAUAAAGGAAAGGUAACAUUUUCCAUGUAGAAGGUCCAAAUCAACAUAGCAAGUGUGUAAAGUGGUUGAGAGUUGGGUCUGUUAUUAUGGAGGGCUAGUUGGUCCCUGUGGCACUGGUCAGAUUUGUAUUAAAACGUCAUUAUAUAUAGGGAAUUUAAGAAGGCUAAGGAAGAGAUGGAGUCACACUAUUUGGCAGCUAUGUAGGGAAUUCAGUUGAGAAAAGUGAUGGUAGCCUUGCCAUCUCAAUAUUCCAUUUUGGUUAGCUGGAGGGAACAACCAGAAAAAAGAAAGAGCUGGACGUGUAACUCAGUAAAUGUUCAAGGCUCUGGGUUCAAUCCCUAGCACUACGGAAAAGAAUGAGAUAAUUUUCUGUGCAUUAGAAAUAUAGUAUUUGGUGCCUGUCGUGGUGGCCACACACCUGUAAUCCCAGCAACUUGGGUAGGCUCAGGCUUGAAGAUCAAAAGUUUGAGGACAGCCUGUGCAACUUAGUAAGACCAUGUCUCAAAAUAAAUAAAGGCUAGGGAGGUAGUUCAGUGGUAAAAGUACCCCUAAGUCCCCAGACAAUAAGCAGCCUGUUCCUGGCAAACUGGAGGAUUGGCUUAGUUUCUAGAUCUUGUCAUACUUAGUGGAGGAAUUAGAGUUCACAAGGUGAACCUGAGAGGAUCUAGACUGUACCACCAGUACAACUGAGAGUUAAGAAUAAAAAAUCAUUCUAAAACAGUUGUGUUGGGGAGGGAGUUAUGUGGAAAACUAAGAGCUUUAAUUUGGCUCCCCAAAUACUAGCAAUUAGUCAUAUAUGAAAUGACCUACCAUUUAGUACACACUUGAUAAGGGCUCAGUAGGUCAUUACUUGUAUCUAGGAAUAGAAGAAUGUGGCCUCCAGAACCUACUUUCUCUCUAAGUAUGUCCUAUACCAGAAAUAGUGAAACAUUGAGCCUCCAUACAGCACAUGAAAGAUGACUUCAUCAAGUAAAUAGUGAAAGAUUAGGCAUAGUGAGCCUUAAAAAUAGGUAAUUAAGAGGUAACUAGCUGGGCUGGGGAUGUGGCUCAAGUGGUAGUGUGCUCGCCUGGCAUGCAUACAAACGAAAGAUGUUGUAUCCGCGGAAAACUGAAAAAUAAAUAUAGAAGAAUUCUCUCUCUUUAAAAAAAAAAAAGAGGUAACUAGCUUUAGAAAAUAAUUCUCAAUACAGCUCUAGUGUGUAUAAAAGCCACUAUUUAAAAACAGUUGUGUCAGUAGAUUUCUUAAAAUUCUGAUUUACUUUGAGGAAAUGAAUAGUACUUAUCUGACACUAUUGUAUUAAUACUGUAUUUUCCUUAAAUUGUUUAAAAUGGUUCCUGGCACUCAGUAAUUUGGUGUUUAAUAUGAAAAAUCUUUGGACCUUAAAAUAUGUUGAUCUACCUGGAUGAGAGCUGGAUGUGUGUGGAGGAAUAGUGCCUCCACUGUCUUAUUAAUGUCAUGAUUGUACUACAGUACCUUAAAGGAAAAUGAUGUUUACCAUCAUAUUUUUUGUGAUUAUUCUAGAAUUUUGAAUGAGCAAGUAUAACAACAUUUCUAAUAAAAAGGACACAUUGAAACUGC